rnacentral:ncRNA from 2 species
AAUUAAAUAGAAGACUCAGGUGCCUUUAUAGGUGAAAAGGGAAUACGGUUAAACUCCGUAGCAGCCCCCGCUACUGUAUGUGAUGAUGAACUUUAGUUACCACUCGUAAAAGAGGAAGGUUAAAGUAAAUAUGAAUCAUAAGCCAGGAGACCUGCCUGAUUGUUAUUAUAUGC